rnacentral:rRNA from 1 species
AUGCACCAUCCCGGCCGUGCCGCCGAUGCCUACCACCCUCUGCGGCAGCACGGGCAGCGGCCCGCCCAUGGGGAUCACGCAGCGCUCGUCCUCCUCGACGCUCCUGAUGCGAAUUCCCAGGUGCCUCAGCCGCGCGGCCAUGCGCUCCUGGAUGUCGUCCAUGGAGAGCCCCGGGCGCGCGACCAGCGACGUCUCCUCGAGGAAGAUCCUGGUGGGCGAGAAGGGCAUGGCGUAGAGGAAGGUGGGCACGCGGCUGUUGCGUUCCUUGAUCGCGGACCCCUCGGGGAGGUGGGAGUCGCGCCAGUCCAUGAAGAGCAUCUUGUCGAUGUCGAAGGGGUGCUCGUCGACCUCGGCGAGGAUGCCGUAGGCGACCUGGUAUCCCGGGUUGUAGGGCUUGUCGUACUGCACGAGGCAGCGGGAGAAGCCGGUGGCGUCGAGGACGACGGUGGCCGGGACGGCGACGCCGUCGUCGCAGAUGAGGAGGGAGGAGGCCUCGUUGUGGACCACCUUGGCGACCUUGGCCUGGUGGAAGCGGACGCCGUGGGCGAUGCAGCGGUCCAUCAUGGUGGACUUGAGCUUGCGGCGGGCGACGCGGGCGUAGGGGCGGUGGAGCGACUUGGAGGUGCGGUCGUCGAUGAAGACGGAGGCGGAGGGCCAGACGGUGUCGAGGCAGUCGGAGAGGCCCAUGGCCUCGAACUCGUCCACCCAGACGCCGUAGUUGUUGGGCCAGACGAGGCCCGGGGAGGGGUCGAUGGAGACGACGGAGAGGCCCGCCUCGGCGACGCGCUGCGCCACGGCGAGCCCCGCGGGCCCGCCGCCCACGACGGCGAGGUCGACGGGCCGGGAGCGCGCCGGGUCGUAGCGGGGCAGGUCGAGGGACAGCAGCUCGGGCCGCGGCGGCGGGGCCAGCGAGCGCAGCGCCUGCCCCGCCGACACGGACGCCGUGGCCCUGCAGACGAUCGCCGCCCGCCCCGGCGGCGCGGGCCGUGGGGCCUGCGGCGGCCGGCAGGCGUGGUGGGCGCGGAGGAGGAGGGCGGUGGUGGCCAUGGGAGGUGGGGAUUCGCUGCCGCGGCGUGGCCGUGUAAUCCUGAGUCGAUAAGCUACUUAUUGUAG